rnacentral:rRNA from 1 species
AUGUCUGCGUUUCGUCGGUUCAUCAAUGAGCUCGAGUUAACAGACAUGUAUCUUCACGGGCGGAAGUACACAUGGACGAAUGAGCAGGAGAGAGCCACUAUGGUGAAGCUUGACAGAUUACUAUUCAAUGAUGAGUGGAACACGACCUACCCCAACUCCAUCCUUCGAGCGUUGUCCUCUAGCCUCUCUGACCACUGCCCUUUGCUGCUAACAACGGAUGCAUUCUUCAGGCCGCCGCGACACUUUCGGUUUGAGAACUAUUGGUCCAAGCUAGAGGGGUUUGACCAUGUGAUUUCAGAGGCUUGGAACAGACCCUACGCAUGUACAGACCCGUAUCUCAUCCUGCACUGCAAGCUCACGCGCACUGCGCGUGCUCUGAAGAAAUGA